rnacentral:ncRNA from 1 species
AGAUCAGCGAUGAAGAAGAAGAGUAGCGUGGAGAGUUCCGCUCAGAGAGCCGGCGGUGGGUGCGAGCCGGUGGGAAUGCCGCGUGAAUGGGCUUCGGAGCUGCCUCCCUCACACCCGUCACGGAGAGAGGGAGGCCGGUCGGCUCUGUCCGGCCGUUAUUCCUGAGAGCGCGCCUGAUUUGGCGAAGCCGGGUGGUACCGCGAGAGAAACCUCGUCCCGAUG